GACGAACGCUGGCGGCGUGCUUAACACAUGCAAGUCGAACGGAAAGGCCUCUUUCGGGGGGUACUCGAGUGGCGAACGGGUGAGUAACACGUGAGUAACCUGCCCUUGACUUUGGGAUAACUUCCGGAAACUGGGGCUAAUACCGGAUAGGAGCUCCUGCUGCAUGGUGGGGGUUGGAAAGUUUCGGCGGUUGGGGAUGGACUCGCGGCUUAUCAGCUUGUUGGUGGGGUAGUGGCUUACCAAGGCUUUGACGGGUAGCCGGCCUGAGAGGGUGACCGGCCACAUUGGGACUGAGGUACGGCCCAGACGCCGACGGGAGGCAGCAGGGGGGAAUAUUGCACAAUGGGUGGAAGCCUGAUGCAGCAACGCCGUGUGCGGGAUGACGGCCUUCGGGUUGUAAACCGCUUUCGCUCAUGACGAAGCUUUGUGUGACGGUAGUGGGUAAAGAAGCACCGGCUAACUACGUG
rnacentral:rRNA from 1 species